GAUACAAAGGGCCUGGUUUCUGCAGAGAUAUAACUACGCACACAUGUAUCAAUCUCUACACAGUGUAGCAGACUCACUCAUAACAGAGUAGUAGCUAAGAUACAUGUAGCAAUAUGUAGUAAAUGGUGUCAUGCACCAGACCCCACAGGGUUAACACUCUGGUAUAGAAAUCGAAAGGAUAGAGGAGGUAAUAAAGUGAGAAUGAAAAAUAAAGUGAAAAUAACCUGUCAAAGGUAAUACAACAGUAGUUGAAGGUUAUAUCUAACCACAAGUAGCUCACUAAGCCCCACCACCUUAAUACAAGUGUCCAGAGCAACAAGAUAGCUCAAACAUUGGUG